rnacentral:lncRNA from 1 species
UCUCUCUCUUUGGCUAUAGGCUUUUCACAGAUAUGGUCAGAUGUAGGCUACCAGUGCCCAGAAAGAAGAUUGAAGGAAAAGGUGAGGACUCUAAUGGCAGCCCAGGAGCCCUGAUAGUACUGAAACCUUCUCCCGUCCCCCAACCUCCUCAGGCCGGCACAGUUAGGCUUGAGGGACUGAAGGGAUUUUACUUCCGCUUGGCUGCAGGAACCAUAAGUCCCAGACAAGAUCCGAAUUGGAAUAAUCACAUUCAAAAUACACCAAGAUGUUCUCAUACACCCAGAAGCGCGCGCAUCCUUGGGCCAUGGGGCGCACGCGAGCACACGCCCCGCGCACCCAGCCCUGCCGCUCUCCAGAGCAUCCUCAGCAGCUGCCACAGAAGCAGCCUCCUCCUCCUCUUCCUCCUGCUCCUGCCAUCACCGCCGCCGCUGUUACAGUGUCUCCUAUCCGCUCUCAUCCUCUUUCCUCCCGCAGUUCCUGCUGCUCCUCCUCUCCUCACGAGCUCCUCCUGCCCAACAGCAAAGGGCAGAAACCUCGGCAGCUGCUCCUCUGCGUUCGGGCCGCGAAGAGGCUGGAACAGAUGGGCAGCUGGAGUUGAUGAAUGCUAUCAAAAGCAGGACUUGUGAUUUUUCUCCUACAAGUACAUUC